GGGGGCAGAGCAACAGGGAUUGCCCUAGUAACGGCGAGUGAAGCGGCAACAGCUCAAAUUUGAAAUCUGGCCUUCGGGUCCGAGUUGUAAUUUGUAGAGGAUGCUUUUGGCGCGGUGCCUUCCGAGUUCUCUGGAACGAGACGCCUUAGAGGGUGAGAGCCCCGUACGGUUGGACACCAAGCCUCUGUAAAGCUCCUUCGACGAGUCGAGUAGUUUGGGAAUGCUGCUCUAAAUGGGAGGUAAAUUUCUUCUAAAGCUAAAUAUUGGCCAGAGACCGAUAGCGCACAAGUAGAGUGAUCGAAAGAUGAAAAGCACUUUGAAAAGAGGGUUAAAUAGCACGUGAAAUUGUUGAAAGGGAAGCGUUUGCGACCAGACCUCUUCCCGGCGGAUCAUCCGGUGUUCUCACCGGUGCACUUCGCCGGGUUUAGGCCAGCAUCGGUUUUCGUGGGGGGAUAAAAGCUCGGGGAACGUAGCUCCCUCGGGAGUGUUAUAGCCCCUUGCAUAAUACCCUCACGGGGACCGAGGACCGCGCUUUUUGCAAGGAUGCUGGCGUAAUGGUCGUCAACGACCCGUCUUGAAACACGGACCAAGGAGUCGAACAUUUGUGCAAGUGUUUGGGUGUUAAACCCUCACGCGUAAUGAAGGUGAACGUAGGUGAGAGCCCUUACGGGUGCAUCAUCGACCGAUCCUGAUGUCUUCGGAUGGAUUUGAGUAAGAGCAUAACUGUUCGGACCCGAAAGAUGGUGAACUAUGCGUGGAUAGGGUGAAGCCAGAGGAAACUCUGGUGGAGGCUCGCAGCGGUUCUGACGUGCAAAUCGAUCGUCAAAUCUGCGCAUGGGGGCGAAAGACUUAUCGAACCAUCUAGUAGCUGGUACCGCGGU
rnacentral:rRNA from 1 species